CAAGCGGUGGAGCAUGUGGUUUAAUUCGAUGGUACGCGAGGAACCUUACCAGGGUUUGACAUGCAAGUGGUAGGAAUCCGAAAGGUGACCGACCCUUCGGGGAGCUUGCACAGGUGCUGCAUGGCUGUCGUCAGCUCGUGUCGUGAGAUGUUCGGUUAAGUCCGCUAACGAGCGCAACCCUCGUCGUGUGUUAUACGUGUCACACGAUACUGCCGGUACCAAGCCGGAGGAAGGUGGGGAUGAUGUCAAGUCAGCAUGGCCUUUAUAUCCUGGGCUACACACACGCUACAAUGGCAGAUACAAUAGGUCGCUAAACCGCGAGGUGGAGCCAAUCCUCAAAGUCUGUCUCAGUUCAGAUUGUAGGCUGCAACUCGCCUGCAUGAAGUCGGAAUCGCUAGUAAUCGCGGAUCAGAAUGUCGCGGUGAAUACGUCCCCGGGUCUU
rnacentral:rRNA from 1 species